rnacentral:rRNA from 1 species
UACGUAGGUGGCGAGCGUUGUCCGGAUUUACCGGGCGUAAAGGGAGCGUAGGCGGACUUUUAAGUGAGAUGUGAAAUACUCGGGCUCAACUUGAGUGCUGCAUUUCAAACUGGAAGUCUAGAGUGCAGGAGAGGAGAAUGGAAUUCCUAGUGUAGCGGUGAAAUGCAUAGAUAUCACGCAGAACUCCGAUUGCGAAGGCAGCGCACCGGCGCCCUACUGACGCUCAGGCACGAAAGCGUGGGUAUCGAACAGG